rnacentral:rRNA from 1 species
UACGGGGGGGGCAAGCGUUGUUCGGAAUUACUGGGCGUAAAGGGCUCGUAGGCGGCCAACUAAGUCAUACGUGAAAUCCCUCAGCUUAACUGGGGAACUGCGUCUGAUACUGGAUGGCUUGAGUUUGGGAGAGGGAUGCGGAAUUCCAGGUGUAGCGGUGAAAUGCGUAGAUAUCUGGAGGAACACCGGUGGCGAAGGCGGCAUCCUGGACCAACACUGACACUGAGGAGCGAAAGCCAGGGGAGCAAACGGG